rnacentral:rRNA from 1 species
AUACAUGCAAGUCGAGCGGACAGAUGGGAGCUUGCUCCCUGAUGUCAGCGGCGGACGGGUGAGUAACACGUGGGUAACCUGCCUGUAAGACUGGGAUAACUCCGGGAAACCGGGGCUAAUACCGGAUGCUUGAUUGAACCGCAUGGUUCAAUUAUAAAAGGUGGCUUUUAGCUACCACUUACAGAUGGACCCGCGGCGCAUUAGCUAGUUGGUGAGGUAACGGCUCACCAAGGCAACGAUGCGUAGCCGACCUGAGAGGGUGAUCGGCCACACUGGGACUGAGACACGGCCCAGACUCCUACGGGAGGCAGCAGUAGGGAAUCUUCCGCAAUGGACGAAAGUCUGACGGAGCAACGCCGCGUGAGUGAUGAAGGUUUUCGGAUCGUAAAACUCUGUUGUUAGGGAAGAACAAGUACCGUUCGAAUAGGGCGGUACCUUGACGGUACCUAACCAGAAAGCCACGGCUAACUACGUGCCAGCAGCCGCGGUAAUACGUAGGUGGCAAGCGUUGUCCGGAAUUAUUGGGCGUAAAGCGCGCGCAGGCGGUUUCUUAAGUCUGAUGUGAAAGCCCCCGGCUCAACCGGGGAGGGUCAUUGGAAACUGGGGAACUUGAGUGCAGAAGAGGAGAGUGGAAUUCCACGUGUAGCGGUGAAAUGCGUAGAGAUGUGGAGGAACACCAGUGGCGAAGGCGACUCUCUGGUCUGUAACUGACGCUGAGGCGCGAAAGCGUGGGGAGCGAACAGGAUUA